rnacentral:lncRNA from 1 species
GAAAGAAAUCGAAAAACUGUGACGCACUAAAAGAUCCUCAUGAGAAAAAGCAUAGACCGCACUGCAUCGUGGAUGAACUCUACGACCGAUCCAAAAACAGCACGUGCCCGGUUAUGACGUAGGCAAUCCAACAGGCUCAAUGGAGCAAGAUCGGUACCCCCAACCUGUGGCUAGUCAUAACUUCGAGCACGCUUUACAUUUCCAUCAUUUGCAAUGGGACCCGAACCGAGCGAAUCAUGGAAAGGGUUGCAUUCGUGAAACUUUUACCCAAAUGCAUCGCCCAGACGAGAAAUAUCACCCUACUCCCCACUAGCAAAGGAAUGGAGAAUACAAUACAAUAAUACGUAAUACAAUAAUACGUACAAUAAUUAAAACUAGGAAACACCUGAUACCUUAUUCAAUUUUGCUUCUUUCAAUUAAAACACGUUUCCUUUCUAGUAACUAAUAAUACACUCGUUGAAGAAAGGGCCAAAUUUCUCGAUGAGUGUUCAGCAAACCUCGUAUCACAAUUCCUUAAUGUAGCCGAAGAAGAUAAGGAGAAACUUGGUACAAUUUUAAAAACAUUUUACAGCUGUUCUUCGUUUACAGAAGAUAAAAAUGCAUUAAUAAAGUAUACUAGUGAUGAAAUUUUUAUUCGAUCAACAAUACGUCAAGCUGAAGCUGCCUCCCGAUAUGUACCUGUGUACCUUUAUGAACUAACAUGGUUACCAGAUGACAGUACUCUCCUAGGAGUACCACAUGGAACAGAACUAUGGUAUUUGUGGGACGGAAUAUCACUUGGUCCAGUUAAUGAAAUCUUUCGAAAACCUUUACUAAAAUGGUGGACAAAUUUUAUUAAAUACCAAAAUCCCACUCCAAAGUCGGAUGGAGAACUUCAAAACAUAAUUUGGGCAGAAGUACAACCCGAUUCUGUGAAAUAUUUAGACAUAAAUUCGCAGUUU